rnacentral:rRNA from 1 species
AUACGUAGGUGGCAAGCGUUGUCCGGAUUUAUUGGGCGUAAAGCGAGCGCAGGCGGAAAGAUAAGUCUGAAGUGAAAGCCCCCGGCUUAACCGGGGAACUGCUUCGGAAACUGUCCUUCUUGAGUGCAGAAGAGGAGAGUGGAACUCCAUGUGUAGCGGUGGAAUGCGUAGAUAUAUGGAAGAACACCAGUGGCGAAGGCGGCUCUCUGGUCUGCAACUGACGCUGAGGCGCGAAAGCUAGGGGAGC